AAUUCAUAUCUCUUAAACUAAAAGAGAUAGCUACCAACGAAAUGUUGAUUAUGAAAGAUUGGAAGAUUCUCUAUCAGAUAAAAAUAUAAAAUAAUUAUAUUUCCUACAGUGAAGGGUCGAAAAGAGCGACUAAAAGUGCUAAAAAGUGACAUUUUGCAAUUUUUGCCAAUUUUAUUCAAUCGCGAAUAUCUCGUAAACUAAAAGAGAUAAAUAAAAUCCGAUCGCAGCGUCUUAAUCUACGGACAAAUCUCUAUAAGAUAGGCUAAUUAAAGUGGAAAUCGGAGAGAUGAAAUUUUCAUUCUUAAGAAAAAAUUGCCAAGGGGGGGUGCUUGUUACUUUUUUUCGACGAUUUACAAAAAUUCAUAUCUCUUAAACUAAAAGAGAUAGCUACCAACGAAUCGCUGAUUAUGAAAGAUUGGAAGAUUCUCUAUCAGAUAAAAAUAUAAAAUAAUUAUAUUUCCUACAGUGAAGGGUCGAAAAGAGCGACUAAAAGUGCUAAAAAGUGACAUUUUUCAAAUUUUAUCCAUUUUAUUGAAUCGCGAAUAUCUCGUAAACUAAAAGAGAUAAUAAGGAACGAAUGACAGAGUCUUAAUCUACGGACAAUUCUCUAUAAAAUAAGCUAGCUCGCUAAAAUAAGCGGCAGAGACCUGCACGAAACUAGCUGCAAUCCAUCAAUAGAGCAAGCCAAAACUGCACACACAAGAAUGCGACAGUUCACAAUAGGACCCUGUGCCUGCUGUAUAAACUCGUCAGAUACAAGCAAUAGAUGCGCAAAGCCAGCGCGUCGAUGCCACGCGACCUUGUGCGCGAAUUGCAAUGGUACUGGCCGCGGACGUAUCAGUCUCUUGUUGCCUACGCGCUGUUCGUCACCUUGUUUUCAUUUCAUUUCAAUAAAUUGCAUUAAAUCUUAUCGGUAAUCGACGACGCAGUUUCGACGCGUAAAGUGCUAACGAUAGUUUGUGCGUGAAAUGAUUAUAAAACUCGUGUCUUCAUUUGUGCGUGUGAAGUCCGACGGCAAUUGACUAAACUCGAUACUGGGAAUUGCAACUGGAUAUAACCUGCAGUCAUUUUCUAGGAUUUUGCACCUGAGUCUGACAUCCUAGAAGGACCAUACUGGUAUCAGAUUGGAUUUUGCACCUGAGUCUGACAUUGUAGAAGGACCAUUCUGGUAUCAGAUUGGAUUUUGCACCUGAGUCUGACAUCGUAGAAGGACCAUUCUGGUAUCAGAUUGGAUUUUGCACCUGAGUCUGACAUCGUAGAAGGACCAUUCUUGCAUCAGAUUGUUAGUAUUAAAUUAUCUUAAAUAACUUUUGUAAUUAUUACACAAAUUGUCUCCCAACAUUUAUGCUUGUGUGUUUUCUUUAAUAAAGAAUAUUUUUAAAUUUUUCUAAUUAAAA